GACGUAGGGCGCGAGCGUUGUCCGGAUUUAUUGGGCGUAAAGAGCUCGUAGGCGGCUUGUCGCGUCGACUGUGAAAUCCCGAGGCUCAACUUCGGGCUUGCAGUCGAUACGGGCAGGCUAGAGUUCGGUAGGGGAGACUGGAAUUCCUGGUGUAGCGGUGAAAUGCGCAGAUAUCAGGAGGAACACCGAUGGCGAAGGCAGGUCUCUGGGCCGUUACUGACGCUGAGGAGCGAAAGCGUGGGGAGCGAACAGG
rnacentral:rRNA from 1 species